rnacentral:lncRNA from 1 species
AUAGUCUUGUUACAUUGAUGCAGUUUUUCCCAUUCCAAGGUCUCAUCAGGUAGACUGGCUUGAAGAGAGCCUGGAAGAAUGCCAUCAGGGUGUCAGUCUGAAUAGGAAGCCAUUUCCCACACGGUUUCCUGUCCCGUUUAUAUUUUGGACGUAACAGAAAAUGGAAAAUGACAGCAGUGGCCCCUGUGCAUGGUUUUCAUGGGUGCCCUUAAUCUCAUGGGCAUGCCUAACUUGAAAGUCUGUUCUAACUGGCGCUUAAGGCUUAUUUUAGAUACUGGAGUGUAGCUUUAUUAUGGAUGGACUUUUAUCUUUUAAACAUUUCAUUUUGAUCAACUUUGUAUAUUCAUGUGUAUUAAAAUAUCGUGGCACUAAAUGUCGUUCCCCCCCCCCCCCUCGUUUGCUGUACCUGGUCAAGGCAUUUGCUGGCACCAUCGUGGUUGGCUCAUGCAAAUGGCAUGGGCCAGAGACAAUUAUUGCCUAUUUUUCUGCCUAAUUAAAUUUCUGUUUUCUAGUAUUACAUU